rnacentral:sRNA from 1 species
UUUAACUCUUUUGAUUUUCUCACCUCUGGGGAAACCACAAGGAGCUGGUAAGAAGCCUGACCUUUCAUCUGCUUUUUAACGGGGUGUGCUAUGAUGAGCAGUUGUUUCUCUGUCCUUUAGACUCUACUAAAUCUUUCAUUCCUCUAUUCAGUCCCACACCCAGCCUUUUCCUAUCUCACAAGUCACUGUAAUUAUACUGCCCCCAACUCAUGCCCCAGAUCUUCAAGACACUGCUGGAGUAGGUGCUACUGGAGGACUAGAGUGUGCUCCUGGGCCACAGCCUUGGAGAGGCUCCAGAGGAUGCCAGCGCCAGGAGGAGCUGACAAGCACAAGUGUGGAACACAUCAUUGUCAAUCCUAAUGCUGCCUAUGACAAGUUCAAGGACAAGAGAGUGGGGACAAAGGGACUUGAUUUCUCAGAUCGUAUUGGAAAAACCAAGAGGACAGGAUAUGAAUCUGGAGAAUAUGAGAUGCUUGGAGAGGGUCUGGGAGUGAAGGAGACACCCCAGCAAAAGUACCAGCGCCUACUGCAUGAGGUCCAAGAGCUGACAACUGAAGUUGAAAAAAU